AACGCACAUUGCGCCCUUCGGUAUUCCGUUGGGCAUGCCUGUUCGAGCGUCAUUUAAACCUUCAAGCUCUGCUUGGUGUUGGGUGUUUGUUUCCGCCUCUGCGCGUGGACUCGCCUUAAAUUCAUUGGCAGCCGGUAUGUUGGCUUCGUGCGCAGCACAUUGCAAACGAUUCAAGCGUACCCCCUCCCAUUAAGCCCCCUUUUUUACUUUGACCUCGGAUCAGGUAGGGAUACCCGCUGAACUUAA
rnacentral:misc_RNA from 1 species